GAAUCUUCUGGUUAACCACACCGCUCUUGUUGGAUAUGGCACCCUCAGAUGCGGAGCCCCCCUGAAUGCUACUGGCUGUGGCCAUGCUGGCUCCUUUUGCUGAGCUCCGUACUAGAUUCUGGAAAAGCAGAGAUGGCCACCAGGUACCGCGAUUGAGGAAAUCAGUUACUACUGAAUCAUAUGCUGCAACGAGCUUCCAGGCGCUCUGGGCAUUCCUUGUGUCUGGACACCUUCUCUUCUUCCAUCUGUGCUUUUCUCUCCUGUACGGAUACUCGUCACUGGAUUCAAGGCCCACGAGGAUAAUCCAAGAUGAUCUCAUCUCAAGGUCUUUAGCUUAA
rnacentral:lncRNA from 12 species